rnacentral:lncRNA from 1 species
UCUCCAUCUUCCUCACCCCACCUUCUCCACCACCGGCCGCCGCCGUAGCCAGGCCGGCGUGGGGCGCGCCACCGCUCCACCGCGCCUCCACCUUCGCCGUCGCGCCACCCACCUCCAGCACCACAUCACCCAUCUCCAUCCACCAGCACCAUCAUCCACCAUCACCAGCGCCACCACUCCACCAUCACCACUCACGCGUCCCAUCAGACACGAGGACACGGGCGUCUGAACCUCCGCGCGAGUUCUCCUUCCCUUACUUCUGCUGCUGCUCUUCCUUGCACCCCUGUGUUGCUGUCCUUCUUCCCCUCGACCUCCUGCUGCUACUACUCCCUCUCUCCAUCGCCUUGCUACUGCUUUAUAUCUCCCUGACCUACUGCUGCACCUUCUCUCUUCCUCCCCUACUGCUGCUGCUCUUCUUCUUCCCUUGCCUCGCUGUUCUUGCUCCUUGCCUCUCUGUCUUUCUGAUGCUCUUCAUCUAUUGCUGCACCUUCUUGCUGCGCCCCUGCUGCUUCUCCCUCAACUCUCUCUGCUGCUCCUCUCACGCCCUACUUCUUAUCUCUCUCUCUCUCUCUCUCUCUCUCUCUCUCCCUCUCUAUAUUUCUAUGUAUCAGAGACAUGUUAGACCUUGUGUUAUUCAGACUUGUGCUUGUUUGGUUGUUCUCUAUUAAUCUGCAAGAAGUAGAACAAUUUAGUGUCACUUUUGUUGACGUGUAAGAACUAGCUAUAUAUGUCACACACAUUCUGUACUUGCCGAUGAUUGGUGUCCAGUUUAUUGUUCAUGUGAUAUAAAUGCAUAUGUGUGUGUGUUUGAUGUGAAACAAUUAUAUAUAUGGGGCCUGUAUUUCAGUUAGUGGUUUGUAUAAAUUCAGAUUACUACUUGUGAUUCUAUUUUGUAUUGAAAUUACUCUUUGUGGUAGUCAGUUGUGUGAUCAUUUAAUUUUCAGUCUCUGUAUUAGCUCUGUACCUGUAAUAUUUGUUGUGACAUGAAGCAUUAUCGUCCAUGUCCUUUAUAUUGUUUCUUCUCUCUGUCAUACAUUUGUUAGAUAAAUAUAUGUGUUCUAGUAUUGUUGUUUCCCUUUGGUCAUAUUUGUAUUAUUGUGUCAGUGUCUACUUUCUCAAGUAAAACGAUAAUACCAAAAAGACUAAAAGUACAAUCUGAACCUCCCUUUGUUUCCGUGUCUUUUCCUUUAUUGAUACUCUUGUUAGUGUUAGUUUAUUUUCUGUUUUCAUCACCCAAUAUCAUGUUACCUAGCUUUAGCCGAGCAUAGUUGCCAUCGCCUAGUCCCUGUGGAGAACACGACACUCGUAGUUUGGGGCGUAAAAACCCCGCUAUAUUACAAUUGAUCAUUUUGGCGCCGUUGCCGGGGACUAGCAUCGAGCGAUUGUGUGAAGCUUUAGACUAGGCUUAGUAUAGUUCUUGUUUAAAUUUCCAGUCAAAUUUAUUUCUGUGUUUCUUUUACUUUUUUACUUUUUGUUGCUUCGGCUUAUUAGGAUACUAACCCUCUCACCAGAGCUUGAUGUUUGUGAGCGUGUGUAGGAUAUCUUACUAUUUGUAGGCUGUUUGACAGUUGCGCUUGAACAUAUGGCUUUAGUACGUGAUCUUUGGUUGCCAAGUAGUUUGGGCACGAUGACAGGGCCAAUUUGGCCAUAUAUUGAGGCCGAAAAUUUUGAGUUGAGGCCUGGACUUAUUGCUCUCGUCUUGCAGAAUCAGUUUAGAGGAUUACCCAAUGAAGACCCUCAUGAGCACCAUGUCCAGUACCAUGGCAUUUCCCAAGAUGCUAUCAAGUGUAUGCUGUUCACAUUCUCUCUCAGAGAUGCUGCUAAGGACUGGUACUAUUCUUUGCCAUCAAGAUCAUACACUUGGGGUGAUAUUUUGCAAGCUUUCCUGCACAGAUAUUUUCCACUUUACAAGCAAGCUGCAAUUCGUGACCAGAUCCUCAGUUUUGCACAAGAUGGAAGUGAGAGCUUGUAUGCAGCUUGGAGAGAUAUAAGUAUUUGCUUAGAAAAUGUCCUAAUCAUGGGCAAAAGGAUUUGUUAGUGCUCCAGAUAUUCUAUAGAGGGCUGACACAUGCUUCGAGAGAUCUUAUUGAUAUGUCAGCUGGUGGAACAAUCAUGAACAAGACCGUUGAGGGUGCAAUUAUUCUCAUUGAGAGCAUUGCCUUCCACCAAAUGCAAUGGGGUUGUGAAAGGCCUAGUUCAAAUCCGAAGGUUGCAAGCCAUCUGCAAUCAGAAGCUGUGUGUUCCAUAAGUGAACAGAAAUCAUCCAUGGUGCCUAAUAUUCAAAACCAGCAUGUUCCAUUCCGGGGACAACAACAUUUCAGAGCUGAAUUAGAUCCUCCAUGUAGAAAGAUUGAUCUUACUUCAAGUAUCCUUGAUGAUGAUUAUGAUAUUUUUCAAGAUGAUGCAACCAUUGUAGAUCGGAUGGAAACCACAGUAGCAGAUCCAAUACCUCAUGGCAAUGAAACUGUCCAGAUUGAGUCAAAGUUGCAAGAAGAUGUUUAUGAGGAACCUACUCUGAUUGAUGCUAAGUUGAGACAGCAAGAUAUGGAGAAAUUCACUUGUGUUAGUCAACUAUGUGACUCGUGGAAUUUAGUCGUGGCACCAAUUGCCCACACUUGUGUUACAACUGUAUCUGGGAUAUUUGUCAAGAAGAAAUCAUUAGCUCCACCGGUGGUUGCCUCUAUCUCAGUUAAAGAGAGUAUCUCAGAGAAGAAUAGUGAAGAUGAGAUUCCAACUCCUGCACAUACAUCUAAGCAAGUCGGAGACAUUCCAAGGAGAGAGAUAGUUGAGUCAAAUUUAGAAGAGUUGAUACUUCAAUAUCCUGAGAAGAUCCCACGUGUUGCUGAGCUGCAUGACUGGUGGAAGUCAUCAGUGUCAGUGUUGAAACUUAGCAGUGAUGGUGAUGAGGAGAAUAUUGCUCAGAAAGACAGCGAGGUAGUGAUCUCAGCACCCCUACCAGAUCAUGUUAGUGCAUAUUCACAGAUGGGGACACUUCAGACUCAAUUAGGUGUUGCUGGUAGUAGCACCAUAGAAGAUCCAGAGGAAGAGAGAUCUCAACUUGAAGAAGAAAUACUCGAAGAGGAGGAACAAGAUGAUCCAGAGCUCGAACAACCAAGUGAUCAAGUUGAAGAUUCAUCAUCUACUACUCUUGAAGAAGCAAAAGAAGUUGUUGUAGAUGAACUUGAAGAACCAGAAAUUCAUUUGCCUAUUUUCAUACAAGAGCGUGAUGUAAAAGGUUUAUCUAAUCCUCUUGAUGACAUGCAUCCCUAUGACUUAUUUGCUUCUACCUUGCAUUACAUAAUACCAUCAAUUAAGGUAGAUUUGAGAAAGUAUUUGCUUGGAUAUGAUGAUAUAUACCAUGUUCAUGGCAUUGCUCACAUUUGUUAUGAUUACACUUAUUUUCCUCAUGCUAGACCCAUGCUUAAUGAAACAUGUCAUUCUCAUGUUAGUCUGGAGCUUAAUGAUUCAUAUCAUCUUCAUGCUAGCAUUGAGCUUACUGAUUUCUACCAUUCCAAACAUGUGCUUUAUAGCUAUGCUUAUGUAAUUGGGUACUCUAUUGAUGAUUUAGAGGUCAUCUACCCUAUCACUUGUAGUUGUUGUUUGUGUGAGUCCUAUUUCAGGUUUUUGCUUGUGCAUGAAUCAAUACAUGCUGACCAGGUUCGAGGUGACAUCCCUUGGGAUCCUGGUGGAGUCAGAGCAUGGCGAUGAGGAGAAGUAAGGAGCACACAUGAAGAGAGAAGCUGGAGCAGGCAUGAGGAUAGGGAAGCAAAAGGAGAGGAGUCACAAUGCGUGAGGAAGCAAAGGAGAAGAGUUGCAGUUUAGAGAGUCUCGAGCGAGUGCUACGUCCUAUAAAAACCCGGUGAGCUGUUUCAUGACCUAUUCUGAGUAUAUCAUCCAUUGAUACAUGCUGAAAUCAAAUGUUAUUUGGGUUGCUUAAGACAUGCCUUAAAUGUUGCCCCACUGAAUUUUAUUUGACAUAUGGUGCUUGAUGUGAAUAUGUGAAGUGAGUGUUGAAUGCCUUGUAACCUAGUAAUCUACACAAUGCUUGCUUUGCUGAAAUUAGUGAAAGCUAUUAGUUUUGAGUGCUCAAAUCCCUAGUACACUAGAAAACUUAAUCAUUUUCUGCUUUUACCUCGAUACACCUAGAUCAUUAAGUGUCAGAUGCUGAGUUUGUGCCUAAUGUGUUCCCAUUGAGAGCAAUCACCUAACCACUAUGGAUUAGCAUGCUAUGUUCCCUGGAUCGGUAGCAUGUGAACCAGACAUGGAGAAGUGAUGAUUCCUAUUUUUGUGCUUAUGUGUUGUUCAUUUAAGAUAAGUAAUAAUGAAUAAAUUAGUCUGACUACCUACAGUAGCAUGUCAUGUUCUCGGGAUCGGUGGCAUGUGAAAUCGGGUUAGCUUGGGCAGUAAUUAUUAAUAAAAACAUGUAAUUGUCGAACCAGGUGUAUACCAUGUUCUCGGGAUCAGUGGUAUGUUCAUUUGGGGAGACAAACAAAAAAAACUAAUAUUUGGUUGAGCCAGGUGUAUACCAUGUUCUCGGGAUCGGUGGUAUGUUCCUUUGGUGAGACUGAUAAAAUAAUAUCUUUGCUUCCUUCAAAUUCAAUAAGUGGUUCAACCACAAUGUUGUGUUCUUGGUAAUAAGUAAUCUGAUCACAAGCUUUGUUCUCGGGAUCAUGCUCUCUUUAGGAACCUUUUGGCACAAUCAUCAUUUGAACUUGUUGAUCCACUUUUAUCAUUGUAAAAGUUUAAAAUGAUUGAGUCUACUAGUAUCCUAUUGCUUUGUAGCACUCUUGACCAUUAAUUUUCAUUAGCUAAGUCCAAAGCAUGCUUUGAUUGGAGAUCUACUUCACUGGGACAUUCUCCAGUCAGCUCACUGUUCACUAUCUUGAUCUUGUCAUAUGCCUUUACUUGAGGACAAGUAAAGAUUUUAGUGUGGGGGAACUUUAUAAGCACAUUUCAUAUUCAUCUUUUGCACUCAAAUAUGCGGUUUAUUGAGAUAUGACCAUCAAUUCUUGCUGUGAAAUAUUGAUAUUUGCAUGAAAAUCAUAUAAAGGAUCAUUUACUAGUCUUUGGUCUAUUUUGCAGAAAUGUGCGCAAAGGCACUAUAAAUCUUCAAGAUUCGGACUAAGUGGCUAAGAGAACGAAGAAGAGGAGGAAGCAUGGACCAGACCGUGAAGAAAAGAAGCAAUCAGAGGGCCAAGCUAUAGAUGGCAGGAUCAACUUGGGAAGAAAGAAGAGAAGUAGGAGGGACAAACCGCAAAGUGGCAGAUCAGGGAGGGGAUCAAAAUCCCUAGGUGGCCUUCAAUCCCCUUGGGCCUGGCAUCUCCAUCUUCCUCACCCCACCUUCUCCACCACCGGCCACCGCCGCAGCCAGGCUGGCGUGGGGCGCGCCACCGCUCCACCGCGCCUCCACCUUCGCCGUCACGCCACCCACCUCCAGCACCACAUCACCCAUCUCCAUCCACCAGCACCAUCAUCCACCAUCACUAGCACCACCACUCCACCAUCACCACUCACGCGUCCCAUCAGACACGAGGACAUGGGCGUCUGAACCUCCGCGCGAGUUCUCCUUCCCUUACUUCUGCUGCUGCUCUUCCUUGCACCCCUAUGUUGUUGUCCUUCUUCCCCUCGACCUCCUGCUGCUACUACUCCCUCUCUCCAUCGCCUUGCUGCUGCUUUAUAUCUCCCUGACCUGCUGCUGCGCCUUCUCUCUUCCUCCCCUACUGCUGCUGCUCUUCUUCUUCCCUUGACUCGCUGUUCUUGCUCCUUGCCUCUCUAUCUUUCUGAUGCUCUUCAUCUAUUGCUGCACCUUCUUGCUGCACCCCUGCUGCUUCUCCCUCAACUUUCUCUGCUGCUCCUCUCACGCCCUACUGCUUCUCUCUCUCUCUCUCUGUAAUUUCUAUGUAUCAGAGACGUGUUAGACCUUGUGUUAUUCAGACUUGUGCUUGUUUGGUUGUUCUCUAUUAAUCUGCAAGAAGUAGAACAAUUUAGUGUCACUUUUGUUGACGUGUAAGAACUAGC